GACGAACGCUGGCGGCGUGCUUAACACAUGCAAGUCGAACGGAAAGGCCCUGCUUUUGUGGGUGCUCGAGUGGCGAACGGGUGAGUAACACGUGAGUAACCUGCCCUUGACUUUGGGGAUAACUUCAGGAAAACUGGGGCUAAUACCGGAUAGGAGCUCCUGCUGCAUGGUGGGGGUUGGAAAGUUUCGGCGGUUGGGGAUGGACUCGCGGCUUAUCAGCUUGUUGGUGGGGUAGUGGCUUACCAAGGCUUUGACGGGUAGCCGGCCUGAGAGGGUGACCGGCCACAUUGGGACUGAGAUACGGCCCAGACUCCUACGGGAGGCAGCAGUGGGGAACAUUGCACAAUGGGCGGAAGCCUGAUGCAGCAACGCCGCGUGCGGGAUGACGGCCUUCGGGUUGUAAACCGCUUUCGCCUGUGACGAAGCGUGAGUGACGGUAAUGGGUAAAGAAGCACCGGCUAACUACGUG
rnacentral:rRNA from 1 species